UACGUAGGGUGCAAGCGUUAAUCGGAAUUACUGGGCGUAAAGCGUGCGCAGGCGGAUAGAUAAGUUAGAAGUGAAAUCCCCGGGCUCAACCUGGGAACUGCUUUUAAGACUGUUUAUCUAGAGUUUGUCAGAGGGGGGUGGAAUUCCAAGUGUAGCAGUGAAAUGCGUAGAGAUUUGGAGGAACACCGAUGGCGAAGGCAGCCCCCUGGGAUAAAACUGACGCUCAGGCACGAAAGCGUGGGUAGCAAACAGG
rnacentral:rRNA from 1 species